rnacentral:tRNA from 1 species
AUAUUUCUAGAAAAACGGGUGACGUACUUUUGUUAAAAGUAGGCGUAUGGGUUCGAGUCCCAUGGAGUAGA